rnacentral:lncRNA from 1 species
GGAAAACCCACCAUCAACAAGGGGAGGAAAAGACACAACGAGGGAAGAAACAAAAGGAAAACAAAACAAAGAAAAUAGAAUGAGGGAAGGAGGGAGAAGAGGAAGGAGAGAAGAAGGAGGAGGACUGAUGGGCAUCCAAAACAACUUACCUCGAGCUUACAAAAUGAGAGAGAAAGGUAAAGGGACCAAGAGAGGGUAUUUCUAGUAAGAUAAAAUUAGUUAUUUAAAGAAUUUUUAUUUUAG